rnacentral:misc_RNA from 1 species
AAUAAUAAUUAUCAUGAAUCUUUGAUUUAUGGAAUUGGGCAUUUAUUUCGAUAGAUUUAUGGCCUUAAAUUUACGUUAUGGGCUUGUCAUUAUAAAAUCCGAUCUAAAGGAGCAAUUAAACAUUCUCUCAUUAGCGGAUUUUUACAAGCUGUUAUGAUUUUUGGUUGCUUUCAGCAUUUUUACGAGUGCGAAACCAAGAUCGUAAGUUUACUCUAA